rnacentral:rRNA from 1 species
CAAUAGCGUAUAUUAAAGUUGUUGCAGUUAAAAAGCUCGUAGUUGGAUUUCUGGUUGAAGCGACCGGUCGGGCGUUGAUUCGUCUGCACUGGAGUCGGUUUUGGCCAUCCUCUAGGAAAGUGCGUCUGGUAUUAAGUUAUCGGGCGUAUGAUCCUGGUCUUUUACUGUGAAAAAAUUAGAGUGUUUAAAGCAGGCCUUCGCCUUGAAUACAUUAGCAUGGAAUAAUAAGAUAGGACUUUGGUCUAUUUUGUUGGUUUCUAGAGCUGAGGUAAUGAUUAAUAGGGACAAUUGGGGGCAUUCGUAUUAACGCGUCAGAGGUGGAAUUCUUGGAUUGCGUUACGACGAACUACUGCGAAAGCAUUUGCCAAGGAUGUUUNCAUUG